UGGGGAAUCUUGCGCAAUGGGCGAAAGCCUGACGCAGCCAUGCCGCGUGAAUGAUGAAGGUCUUAGGAUUGUAAAAUUCUUUCACCGGGGACGAUAAUGACGGUACCCGGAGAAGAAGCUCCGGCUAACUUCGUGCCAGCAGCCGCGGUAAUAUGAAGGGGGCUAGCGUUGCUCGGAAUUACUGGGCGUAAAGGGAGCGUAGGCGGACAGUUAAGUCAGAGGUGAAAGCCCAGGGCUCAACCCUGGAAUUGCCUUUGAUACUGAUUGUCUUGAGUAUGGGAGAGGUAUGCGGAACUCCGAGUGUAGAGGUGAAAUUCGUAGAUAUUCGGAAGAACACCAGUGGCGAAGGCGGCAUACUGGCCCAUUACUGACGCUGAGGCUCGAAAGCGUGGGGAGCAAACAG
rnacentral:rRNA from 1 species